rnacentral:rRNA from 1 species
GACGAACCGUGCGAACGUUAUUCGGAAUCACUGGGCUUAAAGCGCGUGUAGGCGGAUCGCCGCGUCGGCUGCUGAAAUCCCCCGGCUCAACCGGGGAACGGGCACCGAUACGGGCGGUCUCGAGGGGGGUAGGGGGGACUGGAACUUCCGGUGGAGCGGUGAAAUGCGUUGAGAUCGGAAGGAACGCCCGUGGCGAAAGCGAGGCCCUGGACCCUUACUGACGCUGAGACGCGAAAGCCAGGGGAGCGAACGGG